rnacentral:rRNA from 1 species
UGGGGAAUAUUGGACAAUGGGCGAAAGCCUGAUCCAGCCAUGCCGCGUGUGUGAAGAAGGUCUUCGGAUUGUAAAGCACUUUAAGUUGGGAGGAAGGGCAGUAAGCGAAUACCUUGCUGUUUUGACGUUACCGACAGAAUAAGCACCGGCUAACUCUGUGCCAGCAGCCGCGGUAAUACAGAGGGUGCAAGCGUUAAUCGGAAUUACUGGGCGUAAAGCGCGCGUAGGUGGUUCGUUAAGUUGAAUGUGAAAGCCCCGGGCUCAACCUGGGAACUGCAUACGAAACUGGCGAGCUAGAGUAGGGCAGAGGGUGGUGGAAUUUCCAGUGUAGCGGAGAAAUGCGUAGAUAUAGGAAGGAACACCAGUGGCGAAGGCGACCAACUGGGCUCAUACUGACGCUGAGGUGCGAAAGCGUGGGGAGCAAACAGG